GGUUAAGCGACUAAGCGUACACGGUGGAUGCCCUGGCAGUCAGAGGCGAUGAAGGACGUGCUAAUCUGCGAAAAGCGUCGGUAAGGUGAUAUGAACCGUUACAGCCGGCGAUGUCCGAAUGGGGAAACCCAGUGCAAUUCGUUGCACUAUCGUUAACUGAAUACAUAGGUUAACGAGGCGAACCGGGGGAACUGAAACAUCUAAGUACCCCGAGGAAAAGAAAUCAACCGAGAUUCCCCCAGUAGCGGCGAGCGAACGGGGAGCAGCCCGGAGUCUGAAUCAGCUUGUGUGUUAGUGGAAGCGUCUGGAAAGUCGCAGGGUACAGGGUGAUACUCCCGUACACUAAAACACACAGGUUGUGAACUCGAAGAGUAGGGCGGGACACGUGGUAUCCUGUCUGAAUAUGGGGGGACCAUCCUCCAAGGCUAAAUACUCCUGACUGACCGAUAGUGAACCAGUACCGUGAGGGAAAGGCGAAAAGAACCCCGGCGAGGGGAGUGAAAAAGAACCUGAAACCGUGUACGUACAAGCAGUAGGAGCCCACUAGUUGGGUGACUGCGUACCUUUUGUAUAAUGGGUCAGCGACUUAUAUUCUGUAGCAAGGUUAACCGUAUAGGGGAGCCGCAGGGAAACCGAGUCUUAACUGGGCGUUAAGUUGCAGGGUAUAGACCCGAAACCCGGUGAUCUAGCCAUGGGCAGGUUGAAGGUUGGGUAACACUAACUGGAGGACCGAACCGACUAAUGUUGAAAAAUUAGCGGAUGACUUGUGGCUGGGGGUGAAAGGCCAAUCAAACCGGGAGAUAGCUGGUUCUCCCCGAAAGCUAUUUAGGUAGCGCCUCGUGAACUCAUCUUCGGGGGUAGAGCACUGUUUCGGCUAGGGGGUCAUCCCGACUUACCAACCCGAUGCAAACUACGAAUACCGAAGAAUGUUAUCACGGGAGACACACGGCGGGUGCUAACGUCCGUCGUGAAGAGGGAAACAACCCAGACCGCCAGCUAAGGUCCCAAAGUCAUGGUUAAGUGGGAAACGAUGUGGGAAGGCCCAGACAGCCAGGAUGUUGGCUUAGAAGCAGCCAUCAUUUAAAGAAAGCGUAAUAGCUCACUGGUCGAGUCGGCCUGCGCGGAAGAUGUAACGGGGCUAAACCAUGCACCGAAGCUGCGGCAGCGACACUAUGUGUUGUUGGGUAGGGGAGCGUUCUGUAAGCCGUUGAAGGUGGCCUGUGAGGGUUGCUGGAGGUAUCAGAAGUGCGAAUGCUGACAUAAGUAACGAUAAUGCGGGUGAAAAACCCGCACGCCGGAAGACCAAGGGUUCCUGUCCAACGUUAAUCGGGGCAGGGUGAGUCGACCCCUAAGGCGAGGCCGAAAGGCGUAGUCGAUGGGAAACAGGUUAAUAUUCCUGUACUUGGUGUUACUGCGAAGGGGGGACGGAGAAGGCUAUGUUGGCCGGGCGACGGUUGUCCCGGUUUAAGCAUGUAGGCGGAUGUUCCAGGUAAAUCCGGAACGUUACUAACGCUGAGGUGUGAUGACGAGGCACUACGGUGCUGAAGUGACAAAUGCCCUGCUUCCAGGAAAAGCCUCUAAGCAUCAGGUAACAUCAAAUCGUACCCCAAACCGACACAGGUGGUCAGGUAGAGAAUACCAAGGCGCUUGAGAGAACUCGGGUGAAGGAACUAGGCAAAAUGGUGCCGUAACUUCGGGAGAAGGCACGCUGAUGGUAGGUGAAGUGACUUGCUCAUGGAGCUGAAAUCAGUCGAAGAUACCAGCUGGCUGCAACUGUUUAUUAAAAACACAGCACUGUGCAAACACGAAAGUGGACGUAUACGGUGUGACGCCUGCCCGGUGCCGGAAGGUUAAUUGAUGGGGUUAUCCUCGCGGAGAAGCUCUUGAUCGAAGCCCCGGUAAACGGCGGCCGUAACUAUAACGGUCCUAAGGUAGCGAAAUUCCUUGUCGGGUAAGUUCCGACCUGCACGAAUGGCGUAAUGAUGGCCAGGCUGUCUCCACCCGAGACUCAGUGAAAUUGAACUCGCUGUGAAGAUGCAGUGUACCCGCGGCAAGACGGAAAGACCCCGUGAACCUUUACUAUAGCUUGACACUGAACACUGGUCCUUGAUGUGUAGGAUAGGUGGGAGGCUUUGAAGUGUGGACGCCAGUCUGCAUGGAGCCAUCCUUGAAAUACCACCCUUUAAUGGCUGGUGUUCUAACGUGGGCCCGUGAUCCGGGUUGCGGACAGUGUCUGGUGGGUAGUUUGACUGGGGCGGUCUCCUCCUAAAGAGUAACGGAGGAGCACGAAGGUCAGCUAAUCCUGGUCGGACAUCAGGAGGUUAGUGCAAUGGCAUAAGCUGGCUUGACUGCGAGCGUGACGGCGCGAGCAGGUGCGAAAGCAGGUCAUAGUGAUCCGGUGGUUCUGAAUGGAAGGGCCAUCGCUCAACGGAUAAAAGGUACUCCGGGGAUAACAGGCUGAUACCGCCCAAGAGUUCAUAUCGACGGCGGUGUUUGGCACCUCGAUGUCGGCUCAUCACAUCCUGGGGCUGAAGUAGGUCCCAAGGGUAUGGCUGUUCGCCAUUUAAAGUGGUACGCGAGCUGGGUUUAGAACGUCGUGAGACAGUUCGGUCCCUAUCUGCCGUGGGCGCUGGAGAAUUGAGGGGGGCUGCUCCUAGUACGAGAGGACCGGAGUGGACGCAUCACUGGUGUUCGGGUUGUCAUGCCAAUGGCAUUGCCCGGUAGCUAAAUGCGGAAGAGAUAAGUGCUGAAAGCAUCUAAGCACGAAACUUGCCCCGAGAUGAGUUCUCCCUGACUCCUUGAGAGUCCUGAAGGAACGUUGAAGACGACGACGUUGAUAGGCCGGGUGUGUAAGCGCAGCGAUGCGUUGAGCUAACCGGUACUAAUGAACCGUGAGGCUUAACCUU
rnacentral:rRNA from 1 species